rnacentral:rRNA from 1 species
AGAGUUUGAUCCUGGCUCAGGAUAAACGCUGGCGGCGUGCCUAAUACAUGCAAGUCGAACGGACAUAGCUUGCUAUGUCAGUGGCGAACGGGUGAGUAAUACAUAAGCAACCUGCCUACAGGGACCGGGAUAACACUUGGAAACGGGCGCUAAUACCGGAUAGGCAGGAUCGGGGCAUCCUGAUCCUGUUAAAGUUGAGAGACACAAGUAGAUGGGCUUAUGGCGCAUUAGCUGGUUGGUAGAGGUAACGGCCUACCAAGGCGAUGAUGCGUAGCCGGCCUGAGAGGGUGAACGGCCACAUUGGGACUGAGACACGGCCCAGACUCCUACGGGAGGCAGCAGUAGGGAAUUUUCGGCAAUGGAGGAAACUCUGACCGAGCAACGCCGCGUGAGUGAAGACGGUCUUCGGAUUGUAAAGCUCUGUUGUAAGGGAAGAAACUGCGGAUUGAUAAUCCGCACUGACGGUACCUUACCAGAAAGCCACGGCUAACUACGUGCCAGCAGCCGCGGUAAUACGUAGGUGGCGAGCGUUAUCCGGAAUUAUUGGGCGUAAAGGGUGCGUAGGCGGCGAAUUAAGUUUGUGGUGAAAGCGUGGGGCUCAACCCCAUAAAGCCACAGAUACUGAUUAGCUAGAGUACUGGAAAGGGAAGUGGAAUUCCAUGUGUAGCGGUAAAAUGCGUAGAUAUAUGGAGGAACACCAGUGGCGAAGGCGGCUUCCUGGCCAGAGACUGACGCUGAGGCACGAAAGCGUGGGGAGCAAAUAGGAUUAGAUACCCUAGUAGUCCACGCCGUAAACGAUGAAUGCUAAGUGUUGGGGAGACUCAGUGCUGCAGUUAACGCAAUAAGCAUUCCGCCUGUGGAGUAUGCACGCAAGUGUGAAACAUAAAGGAAUUGACGGGGGCC